GGAGAGGAGAACAGAGAUCCUACCUCCAUUUCCCAGGUUGGAGUCUAUAUUUGUUUCCAAGUAGUAUUUGAGCAUCAUGAGGAGACCUCAACUUGUUCCUCAAAGUCCACCCAACCCUGAAUACAAUGAACCUGGAAGUCCCCUCUGGACAGAGUAAGGGAGAGGGGAUACUUGGGGCAACUAUCUUAUCUACAUGAGAGCUCUGACGCUAAAGCUUGACAUUCCUGCCUCCUCCUGCUAGUCCCUGCUCCUGAGGAGAGUAAGGCAGCCGCCUUUAGCAUCUCUAAGAUAGAGACUCUUCGGGCCUGAGUGACAUAGGUGAGUGGGUGUUUGGACAGAGGAGAAAUUUCGUGUUGUAAAA
rnacentral:lncRNA from 1 species